GUCGUAUCACGUUGAAACAGCGGUUCUCGUUCGAUCACCGAAGUUAAGAAACGUUGAUAUUGGUCAGUAACGAGAUGGGUGACCGCUUGGGAAUCCCAGAUGCUGUAAC